GACGAACGCUGGCGGCGUGCUUAGCACAUGCAAGUCGAACGGAAAGGCCCUGCUUUUGUGGGGUGCUCGAGUGGCGAACGGGUGAGUAACACGUGAGUAACCUGCCCUUGACUUUGGGAUAACUUCAGGAAACUGGGGCUAAUACCGGAUAGGAGCUCCUGCUGCAUGGUGGGGUUGGAAAGUUUCGGCGGUUGGGGAUGGACUCGCGGCUUAUCAGCUUGUUGGUGGGGUAGUGGCUUACCAAGGCUUUGACGGGUAGCCGGCCUGAGAGGGUGACCGGCCACAUUGGGACUGAGAUACGGCCCAGACUCCUACGGGAGGCAGCAGUGGGGAAUAUUGCACAAUGGGCGGAAGCCUGAUGCAGCAACGCCGCGUGCGGGAUGACGGCCUUCGGGUUGUAAACCGCUUUCGCCUGUGACGAAGCGUGAGUGACGGUAAUGGGUAAAGAAGCACCGGCUAACUACGUG
rnacentral:rRNA from 1 species